rfam:Schistosoma haematobium scaffold582_14, whole genome shotgun sequence.
AUUCGGCUGACGAGUCCGAAAUAGGACGAAACGCGCAUCCUGGAU